UACGUAGGGUCCGAGCGUUGUCCGGAAUUAUUGGGCGUAAAGAGCUCGUAGGCGGUGUGUCGCGUCGGGCCUGAAAACCUGCAGCUUAACUGUGGGCUUGCGGUCGAUACGGGCAUCACUGGAGUUCGGGCAGGGGGAGACUGGAAUUCCUGGUGUAGCGGGUGAAAAUGCGUAGAGAUGCGGAGGAACACCGAUGGCGAAGGCAGCCCCCUGGGCUAACCACUGACGCUCAGGCACGAAAAGCGUGGGGGAGCA
rnacentral:rRNA from 1 species